rnacentral:lncRNA from 1 species
AUGGUUAUAUAUGUCUGCAUUUUUUUUCAGCUCCCUACUGAAUCACUGUUUUAUCGUGCAGUUCUUCAAGAUAUUAUUAAAGAUUGUUAUGGCAUUACCAAAUGCAAUCAGCAUGUUGGUAAAAUUUAUUCCAAAUGCUCUUCCUUUCUGGAUUAUGUCAGAAAGUCUCUAAAGAAGCUUGGAUUAGAUGACUCCAAGCUGCCAGAAAAAACUAUAAUGGACUACUAUGAGAAGUAUAAGCCUAGAAUGAAUGAACUGGAAGCUUUUAAUAUGUUAAAAGUUGUUUUGGCCCCUUGUGUAGAGACAUUGAUUCUUCUGGACCGACUUUGCUACCUAAAAGAGCAGGAAGAUAUUGCAUGGUCUGCACUUGUGAAGUUGUUUGAUCCUGUGAAAUCUCCCAGAUGUUAUGCUGUUAUUGCUCUGAAGAAGCCGCAGUGAUUUAAAUUAAAGCAAAUUAAUAGUUGUAUUUAUGAGACUUGUUGCUAAAAUUGCUUUUCUAAACAUUUAUAUCCUUUUAUGUAAAAAUUUUAAAUAACUGCUAUAUAUUUUAAAUAAACAAUAAAACAAGGCCCAACAACAGGUCAUAAUUUGUUUUUCUGUUGUCAAAGCAUACAUUAAUAAAAUAGGAACUUGUAGCCAGGCGUGGUUGUACAUGCCUGCAAUCCCAGCACUUGGAAGGCUGAGGCUCAGGAUUGCCAUGAGUUUGAGGCCAGCCUGAGCUACAUAGUGAGGUCAAGGCCAGCCUGAACUAGUGAGACCCUGUCUCAAAAAGAACCAAAACAUAAAAUACCAAUUUACAAAAAUAUAAAUGAGUUGACCUAUAUUCCUGAGUUAGUAUUUCAAUAGGACACUGUUCUUGUCCAAUAAUUGAGACCCUUAAACUUGCUAUGUAAUACAUUUUGACUUUUACUUUAAAAAUGAAAGUUACAAGUUUAGAUACACUCAAAUGCCGAGCAUCAUUUGUGUAUUCUUCCACAUUUGGGAAGGGUUUUCAUGUUACCAUGAAGGAAAACCCCACAUUUAAAGGAAGAAAUACUCAGAGACAGGCCAUUUACAAAAAAUGUCUAAUGCAAAGCAUGUUUUACACUAUAUUUUCAUCUAAGUUAUAUGAGGUAAUAUUCUGUUCCCUUAAAGGAAUGUGCAACUUAUAAGUGAUGCUCAUUUUAACGAUUCUUGGGGCUAUGUACUAAAAUAAACUGGUGGGUUGUUACUUAAUGAAAUUACCUUGUGCUCUGUAAAAAGCUAAUGUGAGUAAAGCAAGAUUGAAUGGAAGGAGGCCAGCACCUUGCUCAGUAUGGAACAAUUCAUUUGAUUAGCAGAUAACUUGAAGUUGUUAAUGUACACAGAAGAAAUGGACAGCUGAGAUAAAGGUUCUUUGACACUCAGCUGAAAAGCCUAUAAGACUGUAGAAGAAAGAGUGACUGCAUUCGGCAAUUUUGUAAUCUCUUUCUAGAUGAGUAUAAUUGUUUUGCUUUUGAUUAUAAUAAUUGAGCCAAUAUAUAUGUGAAUGAUAAUGAACUAUGUGUAGCUAGGACAGUGUUGGGGAAAUAAGCCAUUUUUAAUCUUUGUAUUCUAUAACAUUUAAAAUAUAAAUGGAAAGUAGAUUUUAAGGAAUCCCUGCAUACUCAUGACAAACUUAACAGUUACCAACAUUUUACCAGUUGUGCUUCAUCUGCACACAUGAAUUUACACAUACACACACACUCAGCACCCAAACCUACUUGUACAAAAUUUUAAAGCAAAUCCCAGGUAGUUUAUUAUUUGUCAUAAACACUUUAGUAUAUAUUCCUAACAGUUAACAAUUUUUUCUAUAGUAAGAUCUAUAGUUGUUCUCAGUCACAUACCUGUGAUUGGCUCAAAAAGUCUUAUCAGUUUGUUCUAUGUAACUUGAUUAAUUGUAGAUUAUUGUUGUUUGUCUCUAUUUUUGUGCAAAAAUACUUCAUAAUGUUACGUGCAAUAGAAAAUUGCAUCACGUUAGGCAUAUCAGUUUGUUUGUCCCAUAUUUAAUGAUACUAAGAUCAGCAGCUUUCAGUUUUUGUGAGCCUAAUGUAUCGAGUAUAAAGUUCACCAUCAGCUUUUCUUUUAAUGGUUUUGGCAGGCAGUUGCAGUGAUUGAAAACAAUAAGAGUGAAAAAAAAAACUACAAGUUGAUUGCUCAUUUUCAUACUGGUUGGCUGAGAAUCCUUCCACUUUCAACUUAACCACAUAUUUCAUUAUUUUGUGCUAAGUUGCCUUUUUGUUUUAGCAUACUGUUCUUUUAUGUGCUCAUAUUGUUUGUUAUAUGAGUAGCUGUCUAGGAUAGAACAGAAAACCUUGCCAGACUACUUUGAUUCCUUUUGUAAUUUUACUUAGGUAAAAUUUUAAAGACCUUCCCUGGUACCCAGAUAUUUAUGUAGCAUUCAUUUCUCAUUAUAAUAAAGAAAAAGACUACAUGUGAGCAAAACACUGUUUUGUAUAAAGAAAUGAAUUACAACUCUUUCACUCAUUAGCAAAGGAAAUUAAGAACUGUGAAAGAAUACAUAUAUGUUCUCUAAAUUAUUAGAUAUUUGGUAGAAGAAAUUUGUAAGCAAUAAAGUAACAGAAUGCUGCAUGACUCUUCUGAACUCCUUAUGGUAAACUGGGAAAAGAAGGGUUUAAAGCAGCGAUGGUGAACCUUUUAGAGCUUUUGAUGAUACAAAAGAGCCCUCUGCAGCAUGUGUGAUAUAGGUCCUCCACCACUGGUUUAAAGACUGAAUUUACAAUCAAAAGGGAAUUAAAAUGUAAAGGUUUGGAAAAGUCUUAGCCAGGCCAUGGAAAGAAUAAAAAUUGCAUGUUGAACAGUGGGUGUGGCUAGAAGAUCAUUUGAUAAGAUCAUUAUGGGUAGAAGGAAGUCCUGUGCUAUUCAUUAAGCAUGGGGCUCCCAGACCCAAAAUGUAAGGGGUUUUAGGGCAGAACCACUUAAAGCAACAAACCUGGGUCAGUCCUAGAACGUUGGGACUCACUGCCCAGGCCCACCUCAAGUCUCUGCUCCCUGCCUUCCUGCAUAGUCCUUGGCUGCUGCAGUGGUCACUGAAGGGAGUACAGUGCAUUUUGGGCCACCAAGUUGGAGAGUGCAAGUGGUGGCCCUGGUAGCAGGCUUUCUGGUGCUAAUUCUGCAGCUGCACAGAGUGCAUGGACUGUAGAUAUAUAGCUGCCACCUGGAUUUCAGAGGAUACCUCAGAAAAACUUGGGGCCUAGGCAGAAACCUGUUGCAGGUUCUGAGCCACCAUCAAGAACCCUGACAGGCAAUUCUAAGCAGAACUACAGGGUCACGGCUGCCUCAGUUGAGACCUUGCUAAAAUGCUAGUGGAACCAGCGGAGCCAAUCUCCCUCUGAGAUCACAGCACUGUAGAGCCUCCAGCAACAAGCUCUAACUUGGGCAUGCUGCUGUCAUGCAAUUUCAGUGUAUCAGAGUCAUAGUGUGGGCUUCCUACAGCCUUAGGGCAGCAACCUCUCCCAGUAUGUGCAGGCAACAGGGCAUGGAGUCAAAGAUGAUUAUGCUCAAACCUUCAAAAUUAAUGUUUGCUCUGUUGGUUUUUACACUUACUUGGGAC